rnacentral:rRNA from 1 species
AGCAGCCGCGGUAAUCCCAGCUCCAAUAGCGUAUAUUAAAGUUGUUGCAGUUAAAAAGCUCGUAGUUGAACUUCGGGGUUUACCCAUUGGUCAGGCUUAAUUGUCUGCACUGGUGAGAUGAAUCUCUACCUUCUGAGGAACUUUCAUGCCAUUUAUUUGGUGUGAUGGGAAAUCAGGACCGUUACUUUGAAAAAAUUAGAGUGUUUAAAGCAGGCUAACGUCUGAAUACAUUAGCAUGGAAUAAUGAAAUAGGACGGACUGAUUCUAUUUCGUUGGUUCCUAGGAUCACCGUAAUGAUUAAUAGGGAUAGUUGGGGGCAUUAGUAUUCAAUUGUCAGAGGUGAAAUUCUUGGAUUUAUUGAAGACUAACUACUGCGAAAGUAUUUGCCAAGGAUGUUCUCAUUAAUCAAGAACGAAAGUUAGGGGAUCGAAGACGAGUCAGAUACCGUCGUAGUCUUAACCGAUAAACUAUGCCGACUAGGGAUCGGACGAAGUUAAUUUUUAAUGUACUCGUUACGGCG